rnacentral:rRNA from 1 species
CCUACGGGUGGCAGCAGUAGGGAAUUUUGCGCAAUGGGCGAAAGCCUGACGCAGCAACGCCGCGUGAUCGAGACGCCCUUCGGGGUGUAAAGAUCUGUCAGUGGGGACGAAACUUGACGGUACCCACAGAGGAAGCACCGGCUAACUCCGUGCCAGCAGCCGCGGUAAUACGGGGGGUGCAAGCGUUGUCCGGAAUCAUUGGGCGUAAAGAGUUCGUAGGCGGCACGUAAAGUCUGGUGUUAAAGGCAGAGGCUCAACUUCUGUACGGCACUGGAUACUUGCGAGCUAGAAUGCGGUAGAGGUAAAGGGAAUUCCUGGUGUAGCGGUGAAAUGCUUAGAUAUCAGGAGGAACAUCGGUGGCGAAAGCGGCUCUCUGGUCUGUAACUGACGCUGAGGUUCGAAAGCGUGGGUAGCAAACAGGAUUAGAUACCCGAGUAGUC